AAGGAUCAUUAACAAAAAAUUAUUUGUGUUAAUAAUUCACCCUUUUCAAUGUGAAGUUUGGUUGUUUGUGAUAUAACUCUGGUAUGGUUUUUUUCAGACGUAAGGUUUGAAAAUUGAAUUGCCUACCAGUAGUUUAAUCUAAUAAACUAUUAUAUAUUUUUGUGUGUAUUUGUAUUAAUCUUUUUGAUGAGUUUUCGGUAACUUGGGAUGAAUUUCACCUGAAAUGAGUCAAAAGUUUAUCAGAAAUGAAUCGAAAAAUCAAUUAACUCAAUACAACUUGCAACAAUGGAUCUCUUGGCUCUU
rnacentral:misc_RNA from 1 species